rnacentral:rRNA from 1 species
UACAGAGGGUGCAAACGUUGUUCGGAAUUACUGGGCAUAAAGCGCACGUAGGCGGCGCGUCGAGUGUGGAGUGAAAUCCCGCGGCUUACCCGUGGAACUGCUUCGCAUACUGACGUGCUGGAGUGUGGUAGAGGAGAGCGGAACUCUUGGUGGAGCGGUGAAAUGCGUAGAUAUCAAGAGGAACACCAAAGGCGAAGGCAGCUCUCUGGGCCAUGACUGACGCUGAGGUGCGAAAGCUAGGGGAUCAAACGGG